GCCAAGGCCUGUAAAGGGGCCCUGACCAGCUAAAUUCCGCCGUUGUUUUGAGAUACUAGAUACUAUAUAUAUUAGAUACUAACCUAGCUACCGUCAACGGGUACUGGCUAACUAGAUAGUGUAACGACCCUGAGUUUAUAAGCGCGGAUUUCGCGCUUUUGGGACACAAUCGAUAGCGCGCUGGACUUCGGCUAGAAGGUCGAGGGAUCGAGACCUGCUCCAUUACACUAGUUAAAGAUUUGUAGUUAAGGACGCUGCUAACGAGUAUGAGGCCACCUCACAGUACAUCCAACUGGCCUCAAGACCGCAGACCACAUGUAACCAGCCCAGGACUUCCAGAUCACCUGCGGGAUCGUCAGAGGGGGGAUAUUUCUGUCUGUAAUAAAGCUCUUUAGUGGAGAAAAACUCACUCUGAUUGGCUGGGCCUGGCUCCCCAGUGGGUGGGCCUCUGCCCUCCCAUGGCUGCACUCCUGCCAAGUCAUGGAAAAUCAAUAGAUUAGAGCCGAAUUAAUUUAAAUUGACUGAUUUGCUUAUGAAUUUAGCAAACUCUUGGAAAUUGUUGUAUGUUGCAUUUAUAUUAUUGUUCAUUAUACAUAGUGCAGUUCAAAAUGCUGAAAACAGGGCACAUAAAUUGUCAGAUCAAAAAACAAUGUAUUUUAACAGUUUAGAUUUAUAAAACAAAUAAUUACAAAUGUAUAAAAUACAUAAAGCCCAUUAUAAAUAAUUUAAAGUACACCUUAAUGUAAAGUGUUACCUUCAACAUCUACCACCAUGUAUCCCAUUUUACCGUACAAAAUCCAAUAAAAAAAUACCGUACAAAACAAGUGCUGGUGACAAACCAA